GAGGGGAGAAGGAGACUGAGAAAGAAGACUGAGAGGCUCCUGGAGGUAGCCGGUCCCCACCCCGCGCCCGUGGGAACGGCCCCGCCCGCCUCUGUGACGUCAUCUGGAACCCGACAAGGCAGGGCCGCCGGCAGGCGGCUGGAGGGUCCUCGCCGAGCCGUGAUGAGCGAGGGCAGCGCGGGCGACCCGGGCCACGGGUCCAGCCGGCAGCGGGCCGUACACCCAGAGAACCUGUCUCUGGGUUCUAGCUGUUUCUCUCCACCUGUGAACUUCCUUCAAGAGCUGCCAAGCUAUCGGUCAGUGGCACGUAGGAGAACAAACAUCCUCUCUCGGGACAAGCAAAGUGGCACCCUGCUGAAGCCGACAGACUCUUUCAGUUGCCAGCUGGAUGGAGGAAUCACAGAAAACCUCAACAGCCAAUCCAUCCGCAAGUAUGCACUGAACAUCUCUGAGAAGCGGAGACUAAGGGACAUUCAGGAAACCCAAAUGAAGUAUUUAUCAGAGUGGGACCAGUGGAAACGGUACAGCAGCAAGUCCUGGAAGAGGUUCCUAGAGAAAGCUCGAGAGAUGACAACCCACCUGGAACUGUGGCGCAAAGACAUCCGCAGCAUUGAAGGAAAGUUUGGCACGGGGAUCCAGUCCUACUUCUCAUUCCUGCGGUUCCUGGUGGUGCUGAACCUGGUGAUAUUCCUGAUCAUCUUCAUGUUGGUUUUGCUUCCAAUCCUACUCACCAAGUACAAGAUUACCAACAGCACUUUUGUGCUCAUCCCGUUCAAAGACAUGGAUAUUCAGUGCACACUGUAUCCAAUAAGUAGCUCUGGGCUCAUUUACUUCUACAGUUACAUCAUAGACCUGCUGUCUGGAACAGGAUUCUUGGAGGAGACCAGCCUUUUUUAUGGGCACUACACCAUUGAUGGUGUAAAGUUCCAGAGCUUCACGUAUGACCUGCCCCUGGCUUACUUGAUAAGCACGAUUGCCUACCUGGCCCUGAGCCUCCUUUGGAUCGUGAAAAGGUCGGUGGAAGGGUUCAAGAUCAACCUGAUUCGGAGCGAGGAACACUUUCAGAGUUACUGUAAUAAGAUCUUCGCUGGCUGGGACUUCUGCAUCACCAACCGCAGCAUGGCUGAGCUGAAGCACAGCAGCUUGCGGUACGAGCUCCGAGCAGAUCUGGAAGAAGAGAGAAUACGACAGAAAAUAGCAGAAAGGACCUCAGAGGAGACCAUCCGCAUUUACACUUUGAGGCUGUUUUUGAACUGCAUUGUGCUUGCUGUGCUAGCGGCAUGCUUUUAUGCAAUCUACCUAGCAACUGCCUUCUCACAGGAACACAUGAAAAAAGAAAUUGACAAGAUGGUUUUUGGGGAGAACCUGUUGAUAUUGUACCUCCCGUCCAUUGUGAUUACCCUGGCCAAUUUCAUUACCCCAAUCAUCUUUGCCAAGAUCAUCCACUACGAGGAUUACUCGCCAGGCUUUGAGAUCCGCCUGACGAUUCUUAGGUGUGUCUUUAUGCGGCUGGCCACCAUCUGUGUGCUGGUGUUCACGCUGGGCUCCAAGAUCACAUCCUGUGGUGACAGCACGUGUGAACUCUGCGGCUAUAACCAGAAACUCUACCCGUGCUGGGAGACUCAGGUGGGACAGGAAAUGUACAAGCUGAUGAUCUUCGACUUCAUCAUCAUCCUGGCCGUGACGCUGUUUGUGGAUUUCCCUAGGAAUUUGUUUCCAGGCUCCUGGUGACCUACUGUGCCUCCUCAAAGCUGAUCCAGUGCUGGGGCCAGCAGGAAUUCGCCAUCCCCGACAAUGUCCUGGGCAUCGUGUACGGGCAGACCAUCUGUUGGAUUGGAGCCUUCUUCUCCCCACUCCUCCCUGCCAUUGCCACCUUGAAAUUCGUUAUCAUCUUUUAUGUGAAAGAGUUGAGUCUUCUCUACACCUGCAGACCCUCCCCGAGGCAGUUCAGAGCAUCCAAUUCUAACUUCUUCUUCCUGCUGGUGUUGCUGAUUGGGCUGUGCCUAGCAAUCAUACCUCUGACCAUCAGCAUGGCUCGCAUCCCUUCCUCAAAAGCCUGCGGCCCAUUUACCAACUUCAACACCACCUGGGAAGUGAUUCCUCAGACUGUGAGCACCUUCCCCAGCUCGCUGCAGACCCUGAUCCAUGCCGUUACAUCAGAAGCCUUCGCGGUGCCUUUCUUCAUGAUCAUCUGCCUUGUCAUGUUCUACUUCAUUGCACUGGCUGGAGCACACAAGCAGGUGGUUGUACAGCUUCGAGAGCAGCUGUCCCUGGAGAGUCGUGACAAGCGUUAUCUUAUCCAGAAACUAACAGAAGCUCAAAGGGAGGUCCGGAGCCAGCCGGCUUCAGCAUGAAGAUGCUGCCCGAAACUUCUCAACACAUAGCUCUGAUGACCCUACAGAGUCCACCUGGGGUUUGAGUGGAAGUGACUUUUGGUGGCUUAGCCAAACAGGCUGACCCCCAGCCUGAUCCCCAGGGAGUGGUGACUCCACCAAAACACUUAACUUCUCGAGCUGCUCAGCCUCUCACGAUCAGAGAGGGGAGACUUUUAUUUAUUUUUUGUUUAGACUUUUGUAUAUUUUUAAAAAAGGGUUGUGUGUGUGUGUGUGUGUGUGUUUUUUUUUUUUUUUAGAGUAAAACUGAGAUUUCUCCGAAAGCCUUCCCAGGCCGAGUGAAUACCCUCCAAGAUGCCACUGGUGACUUCAAAUUAAACCUGACUUCCUUUUUCAGAUGAGCAGGAAUCUUCAGAUGCUGAGGCUUAGAACAGCUGAUAGGAACGUGGAGAGGCCGUCCUGGCAGAAAGGCAGAAAGGAAAUCCAUCCCCGCUGUGUACCCCAUCACACUUGAAUUCCCACCCAUGCCCAGUCAGUAUCACCCCCUUGAGGAGAGGACUAGGCCAGGUGGCAAUUUCAGCUUUUUGGAACUUUUCUCCAGCCUUGUUCACUCCUCCAGGGAAAGUGACCUUAGCCAACUGGUUAGCCAUUAGCCUUUAGUCUCCACCUGGCCCCAAUUUCUAAGAUUUGGUGACAGAAUUGAAGAGGGGUUUAACUUUGCAAGGUGCACAGGCAGUUCCUCUGUUUUCCAAGUGUUAUUCCUCUUCCGUGCAUGGAGCUGUUCAUUCCUGAAAGAUGCAGAGUGAUUCAGAGCUAGGCUGCAAUAUGCUUUUUGGAAUUGGAGCUGGGUUUAAGGAGCAGGGGUUUUAUGUAUGAUUUCAGGUGUAGGUCCACAGCCCAGCCUGUUCCUAAGAACGCCCCAUAAUACAAACAAAGGUUGGGUUCUGAUUACUUAAGUACACAUGUCAAAGGGCUAGAUUUUGUUUGCCUGAGUUUAAAACUUUGUGUGUGUGUUCCUUUGUUUUUAUAAAACAUUACAAAGACAGAGUAUCUCUUGAGAUCUCCAGCAUAGUAAAAGCUGUAUUUAAUAAAUACCUCAUCAUAAGCCUCCCUUAUGGGGCGUCCCUUUUAGUGGUGUCUAAUUUGAUCUGCUUUCACUUUAAGGUCUUUGUCAAUGUACUGCAGUCCUGUGAUGGGACUGUGGAGUCUUUACUGUUUUCCACUGGCUCCUAACCUUUAAAUUUCAAUUAAUGUUUCAGAAAGCUGCCAAGAUGGACUUCCCUGCUCUGAUCACUGCCUUGUUCCUCAAAAAUGAUUGGCUUCCCUCUGGGAGCAAAGCAAACUCGUUGUAGCUUCCAUGUCUGUGUGUGUAUAAAGGGUGCUUUGUCAGAUGUGUGUGUGUCUGUGUGUAUUGAUGUGUGUGUGUCCAUAUCUUACAUGUGUGAAUUCGUAUAAAGGGCCCUUGGUGAGGGGUGUGUGUGUGUGUGUGCAUAUGUACAUCUGGAGGCGGAACUCAUAUCCUCAAGCUCUACACAAUCAUUUCCGUCAUCUUCCAUGAGGCUGUUAACCUGGGAUAUUUUUGUUCCUGUGGGAACAUGUGCUUUGUAACAUUUUCUUGUAUUUUAAGAUCUAUGAGUUUUAAAGCCUAACAACAGGAGUUUUGAAUAAACCAAAGUUUACUCCAUUCUCAUUCUACAAAUCCUGGUUGCUGGCAUUUUUGCCUAGUGCCUUCAUGAAGCAUUCUUGUCCUCACUGUGGCCCUGAGGAUAAUCUGCUGUCCUAUGUUUGUAGGAAUGGUAGAUAAAAUAAACAACAUAUUUUCUUUAUUAUAAAACAGAUAACAAAAUAUGCCAAUUGGUAUGUUGGUUUUAGUUAGUGCUGCUAAUGUGUGCACCUCCUACUUGAAUAUUUUAAUAACUUGGAAUAACCAGGCAAUGUCUGUAUAGCUUUAAAGUGCGGCUCUCUAACGGGUGUGUGUUAAACUCCUGAUUCCGUGUCUUGAAAGUUUUAGAGUAUGGUUGUCCUCAAACCCACAGACGCUCUUCAUCACUGGUUAAGUGAUGAAGAGAACUGCAAUACUCAGUAAAGUUGCUCUUUGUCACUGCAGUUAGAGGAAGUAGCAUUUUGACAUCGAUGGAUGUGUUAGAUGAGUCUUGUCUCCUCUUGGCUAUUAAGAAGCCAAAGAAAAGCAGGUUUGUGUGUUUUGAACGUCAAAGACAAUAUCUUAAGCAUUUUAUAUCUUGCUACCAUUGAAAGCCACUGUUUGUAUUUAUUUUAAUAUUCUAUAAAUAUAUAAUAAAUAUUGAAAGUAGCUAUA